UAGGGAAUCUUCGGCAAUGGGGGCAACCCUGACCGAGCAACGCCGCGUGAGUGAAGAAGGUUUUCGGAUCGUAAAGCUCGGUUGUAAGAGAAGAACGUGUGUGAGAGUGGAAAGUUCACACAGUGACGGUAACUUACCAGAAAGGGACGGCUAACUACGUGCCAGCAGCCGCGGUAAUACGUAGGUCCCGAGCGUUGUCCGGAUUUAUUGGGCGUAAAGCGAGCGCAGGCGGUUUCAUAAGUCUGAAGUUAAAGGCAGUGGCUUAACCAUUGUUCGCUUUGGAAACUGUUAAACUUGAGUGCAGAAGGGGAGAGUGGAAUUCCAUGUGUAGCGGUGAAAUGCGUAGAUAUAUGGAGGAACACCGGUGGCGAAAGCGGCUCUCUGGUCUGUAACUGACGCUGAGGCUCGAAAGCGUGGGGAGCAAACAGG
rnacentral:rRNA from 1 species